GAUCAUGGCUCAGAGUGAACGCUGGCGGCAGGCCUAACACAUGCAAGUCGAGCGGCAGCGCGUCCGACCACCCUCGGGUGGUCGGAUGGCGGCGAGCGGCGACGGGUGAGGAAUGCAUCGGAAUCUGCCUCGUUGUGGGGGAUAACGUAGGGAAACUUACGCUAAUACCGCAUACGACCUACGGGUGAAAGUGGGGGACCUUCGGGCCUCACGCGAUGAGAUGAGCCGAUGCCGGAUUAGCUAGUUGGCGGGGUAAAGGCCCACCAAGGCGACGAUCCGUAGCUGGUCUGAGAGGAUGAUCAGCCACACUGGAACUGAGACACGGUCCAGACUCCUACGGGAGGCAGCAGUGGGGAAUAUUGGACAAUGGGGGCAACCCUGAUCCAGCCAUGCCGCGUGUGUGAAGAAGGCCUUCGGGUUGUAAAGCACUUUUGUUGGGGAAGAAACCGGCCGGGUUAAUACCCUGGUUGAAUGACGGUACCCAAAGAAUAAGCACCGGCUAACUUCGUG
rnacentral:rRNA from 1 species